UUGGAUACCCAUCUAAGGAAAAUUCUUGCUGCACCCUAGCCAAUCAUACAAGGUCGACCACCCAGCACAAACUGUGGCUUCACACGCAUCUCUGCAAGAGAAGAAGAAGAAGAAGAAAAAAAAAAAGAAAAUUAGGCACGCGAGCCUCGACUGCCAAAUCUUCUCUUCUAGACUCGGCGAGGAAGAAGACAGACCUGCGCCUUAUGGCGUCAGACCCUUCUGGGUGGGUCUGGGUCGACGCUGGAGAAGAAAAGAAAAAGGAAAACGGGACGACCACCCAGCACAAACUGCGGCUUCACAUGCAUCUCUGCGUGUCCCUGGACUGGGAGGGCGACCAAACAACUCGAUGCUCGUCGGCAGAAGGAGGAAUUGGCCAUGGAGAUGUUGCAGGAAAUUAUACCUCAAGUUAUAUAGAGCAUUAUCAGAGGUGCAUGUAUAAGCCACAACGUCAUCUUGCAGAACACCGAGGCAUGAAUUUCAACAUAUCACUUUCAGAUUUUGGCAAACGAGAAAAAUGAAGUCCAGGAAACGUGAUCAGAAAACCUUUCCUUAAAAGGUCCAGAAAACGUAAUCAGCUCAUGCUUGUUUAAAUGACCAAUUUUCUGUCAUUUUUCGUGAUAUUACCACUUCUGAGUGGCGUCAGUUUCACUUUUUGUUUAAGUGGUUGCCUCUUUUCUAGUGGCAUCCGUUUCACAUAUUUGUUGAAACCGAAGUCUUGCUGUUUCAGCAAGACACAGAGACACAGUUUCUCAGAGACACAGUUUCUAGCAGGCUCUGUUUACAGUUUCUCAGAGACACAGAGAGAGGGAAAAAAUAAGGAUGCAUGAUACAGAAACCUCUCCCUCUCGGUCUCUCACAAAGACACAGUUGGAGCACGUGAUUCAGAAACCAGAGAGUUUCAAAAACUAAUUAAGAUUAGCAUUCUUCAUGAUUCAAGUCAAUAUGGCCUAGCAUUCAUUUAUUUUCAGUAGCUACAGCUUAAACAACAUAACCACCGCAGGACGCAGUAGGUUUACUUCAGUAUCCACACUAUCCUUGCUCGUCGGUAGCGGGUUUUAGUUAUGGGCCGGCCACGAUGAUCCUAGCUACUUUGAACGUGCUCUGUUUUAACAUAUUAAAUAUAUACUCUAUGGUUUGUAAAUUGAUGGUUACAUGACGAUACAUUAAAUAACGUGCUCUGUUUUAACAUAUUAAAUAUAUAAUCUAUGCUAUGUAAAUUUCUUCUUGUGAUGAUUACAUGACGAUACAUUAAAUAACAUGAUGCCCUUUUCUGAACUUCUCAUACACACUAUGCAUUUCUUUUGACGGUGAGGGUGACUAGGGGUGUGGAUCUGGCUGUCAGGGAUUUGAGAUCCAGCGACCUUUACGUUAUUGUUAAGAUGGGCCAACAGAAUGAGGCAACAGUAGCGGAGGAGCAAGCACGACAACAUAUAAGGAACUUGCUAAACUUCGAACAGUACCCGGCCCGGCCCGCCAAACGGGCUGGACUGGGCCUGUUUUUUGGUGGCCCAGCCCGAUAAUAUUAUUGGGCUGGGGCCGGGCUUCAGGUCCAACGGGCCGACCCGGGCCGGGUCUUAGCGGGCCAGCCCGGCCCGAUGCCCACCCCUACUUGAAAAAAACCAGGGUAAACUUACCCUGAAAAAAAAGUCGGACCUCGGAGGGUCCUAAUGUUUUACUGUCUUCGAUGCAUCGUUCUUCUUCAGCCACGUCCACCGUUUCUCUUCAGUGCGGUCGUCGAGGGAUUGGGACGGGAGUUACGCCUCGCCAUCUCGGGUGGCCAUUUGCCGUCAAAAAGCUUAGACGACACCUCUGAUGAGUGGCGAUCCUAAUGAGUCUAAGUCUAUCCCCGGAGGUGCAUCUGCCGGCCGAAAUCUGAAGAUUUUCAGCCACCUUUGCUGCUGCUGCCUGUUUUGAAGAGCUUAGCGGAGCCGCAAUUGAUUUCGGCUCCUCCUGAUACCUGAAUAUCGGGCCCGUCGGGUAACUCGUCUCCUUCUAAUGAGUGGUUCUCUUCGUUUGGUGAUUUUGUGGCCCGACUGUGCCUCUUCUUAGGUUUGGCAGCUUGCUAAAUUUUACUUCAUCUUCAUUAAUUUUGGUUACGGCUCUGAACACCCAACUUAUUGAUCUUUUGUAUUUUUUUACAGUUUGCUCAGUAAAUUUAUCUUUUUAAGAAACUGUUAGGGCAUCUGAAUGGUUUUUGGUGGAAUUAAAUAUGGAUUAUGACAGGAAGGCAUGCUUACGAUGUUAGGAACUGAAUUUUCCAUUUUUUCCUUCUACACGUAUACUGUAUAGGCUCCGUCCAUUUUCUUUAUAGAUGUGUCAUAACUAGUUCCAACUUAACCUUCUCUUCUCUCAGUCUUCUCAUUUCUCUUUUUCUCACCUUUCACAUCCAAUUGUUAUCCCUUUUUCACCAAAUUUCUUCUUACAGUAACACUUCAGCGUGCCAAUUUUCAAUUUUCAUUUUUUAAUAUAUUUAACGCAUUUAGUUUGUCAUGAAGUUGUUCCAUCUGAAAUGGUAACCUUCCACAAUUUUUUUAAACCAGCACACAAUGGUAACUUUUUUAGUCUUUGUUUUAUUUUUUCCACCAAACACAGUUAAUUUUUACCUUUAAAAAAAACUUCCUUGCCAUCAAACAUGACUUCAGAUUGGAAGAAGACAAAUUUUUCCUUCUUUAUUUUUUCCAAAAGCUUUUUUUCAUGGUAAAUUUACCAUGCAAAAAUAUACCUUGCCAACAAAUGGAACAUAAAGGUAAAGGAAAAAUAAAAUAAAUGAACAACUAAGAACCGGAGCAUAAAAAAAGUAGAUUUACAUCAUAUAAAAAUAAAAGAAUAAGUCUAGCACUAAGAAAACGUGAAAAGAAGAAUAAAAUAAAAUAAAAAACCAUGCUACCUUUAGUGUUUUUCUGUUUUUUCAAAAAAAUAAUGUUCUUAUAAAUUUUAAAUGGCUAAUUUAUUGAUGGUAUUCCUUUUAUAAAAAAAGAUUUUUUUGUAACUACGCUUGACAUUAUGGGCAGGGGCAAAGGGAAGGGGAGGGCCUUAGCCCCACCCAAGCAGUGGAGCCAAGGUAGGGUCCACACCUCAAAUUUUAAAAAUUUAUAUGUAAAUGUAAAAAGUUUUUGUUUAACUUAUAUAAAAAAAUAAAAAAAAACUAUUUUGGACAUUAUUAAAAUUUUGAAACUAUAGUUUGGCCCCUGUAAUAAAAAAAUAUUGGCUUCGUCCUUACCCGUGGAUAUUUUGACCUACAUACUUUAUCCAUAUGGUGACAUUUUUUAAUUUUUCAAGUUUAGAUUAGCACUUUAAUCUCGUCGCUUUUCAAAAUAAAAAGUAAAAACCAAUAAAAUCAGCUCAAACUUUUGGUCUUAAGAACAAUGAGUUUCGUUCUCUUAACCACACACUCUUUCCUUCCUUUAAAAGUCGUUUGAUGGCCACAAGACAUGCAGCCCUGUCAUGUUUAGUUGUUUUUUUCAUCAUCAAAUGUUGGAUACAAGACUAGUUGGACAGAACGGACGACUGAACGAAGGUAUAAAUAGUUUUUUUGUUCCAUUGUGUCCUGAGCUAACCCCUCAGAACAGACACGACAAGAACCGCCCCCGAUGACCCCGAGCCCUCGACGCCAUCUCCUUCUCCUCCACCUCCGCGCCCAUCUCCCCUGCCUUUCUUCUCCUCUGCCCCCGACCUGGCUUUCUCCUCCAUCUCCGCCCUCGUCUACGCCCCCGAGCUGCCCUAGCCCCGUUGCUCCUUUGCUUCUUCCUCUGCUGAACGAAGUCAAUAAGGGAGUGAUCUGCCCCCAUUGGUCUUUGUCGUUCAUCGAUCUCUUCAGUUGGAAGAAGGAAGAAGGAGAUAAAGACGUGGAGCAUUAUGUUUUCGAGUUAUUGAAGAUUUCAGCGAUGACAGUGAAAGUCGAGAGGUGUUGGAGUUUUCUCCAGUUGCUCGAUGGAGGCAGGUGAUUGAACAGAAAAAAAAAAAAGAAUUGGUGGGUGCAUUAUACAUGUACAAGUAUGAGGUCUCCACGAUGAAACAGAAGUGCCAGAUGCAAAAGACAUUGUAAUUUUAAGAGAUAUUUUGGCUUUUUUUCUUGAAAUUGCACAAGCAUUAUGUGAAGGCUAAGAAUCCAUGAGCGGUUUUUGUUUAGAGUUUUGUAAAUGUAUGUGAGUUUCUUGUUUGAAAAUAUGUUAUUGGGAGGUUUUUUGUGAGCAUGUAUUAAAAUUUGAG